AGUGAACGCUGGCGGUAGGCCUAACACAUGCAAGUCGAACGGCAGCACAGUAAGAGCUUGCUCUUACGGGUGGCGAGUGGCGGACGGGUGAGGAAUACAUCGGAAUCUACUUUUUCGUGGGGGAUAACGUAGGGAAACUUACGCUAAUACCGCAUACGACCUACGGGUGAAAGCAGGGGAUCUUCGCACCUUGCGCGAUUGAAUGAGCCGAUGUCGGAUUAGCUAGUUGGCGGGGUAAAGGCCCACCAAGGCGACGAUCCGUAGCUGGUCUGAGAGGAUGAUCGGCCACACUGGAACUGAGACACGGUCCAGACUCCUACGGGAGGCAGCAGUGGGGAAUAUUGGACAAUGGGCGCAAGCCUGACCCAGCCAUACCGCGUGGGUGAAGAAGGCCUUCGGGUUGUAAAGCCCUUUUGUUGGGAAAGAAAAGCAGCAGGUUAAGACCCCGCUGUUCUGACGGUACCCAAUGAAUAAGCACCGGCUAACUUCGUG
rnacentral:rRNA from 1 species